rnacentral:sRNA from 1 species
UGCUCAUCGACCACUCGAUCGCCCGGCCU